rnacentral:rRNA from 1 species
CCUACGGGAGGCAGCAGUGAGGAAUAUUGGUCAAUGGACGAGAGUCUGAACCAGCCAAGUAGCGUGAAGGAUGACUGCCCUAUGGGUUGUAAACUUCUUUUAUAUGGGAAUAAAAUGUUCCACGUGUGGGAUUUUGUAUGUACCAUAUGAAUAAGGAUCGGCUAACUCCGUGCCAGCAGCCGCGGUAAUACGGAGGAUUCGAGCGUUAUACGGAUUUAUUGGGUUUAAAGGGAGCGUAGGUGGGUUGUUAAGUCAGUUGUGAAAGUUUGCGGCUCAACCGUAAAAUUGCAGUUGAAACUGGCAGUCUUGAGUACAGUAGAGGUGGGCGGAAUUCGUGGUGUAGCGGUGAAAUGCUUAGAUAUCACGAAGAACUCCGAUUGCGAAGGCAGUUCACUGGACUGCAACUGACACUGAGGCUCGAAAGUGUGGGUAUCAAACAGGAUUAGAUACCCGUGUAGUC